rnacentral:rRNA from 1 species
CCUACGGAGGCUGCAGUGGGGAAUAUUGCACAAUGGGCGAAAGCCUGAUGUAGCAACGCCGCGUGAGCGAUGAAGGCCUUCGGGUCGUAAAGCUCUGUCCUCAAGGAAGAUAGUGACGGUACUUGAGGAGGAAGCCCCGGCUAACUACGUGCCAGCAGCCGCGGUAAUACGUAGGGGGCUAGCGGUAUCCGGCAUUAAUGGGCGUAAAGGAUGCGUAGUUGGUUUCUUAGGUCAGAGGUGAAAGGCUACGGCUCAACCGUAGUAAGCCUUUGAAACUGCGAAACUUGAGUGCAGGAGAGGAGAGUAGAAUUCCUAGUGUAGCGGUGAAAUGCGUAGAUAUUAGGAGGAAUACCAGUUGCGAAGGCGGCUCUCUGGACUGUAACUGACACUGAGGCACGAAAGCGUGGGGAGCAAACA